rnacentral:rRNA from 1 species
UACGUAGGGUGCGAGCGUUGUCCGGAAUUAUUGGGCGUAAAGAGCUCGUAGGCGGCUUGUCACGUCGAUUGUGAAAGCCCGAGGCUUAACCUCGGGUCUGCAGUCGAUACGGGCUAGCUAGAGUGUGGUAGGGGAGAUCGGAAUUCCUGGUGGUAGCGGUGAAAAUGCGCAGAUAUCAGGAGGAACACCGGUGGCGAAGG